GUAAGACAACGUCAAAGCAACAUUCAUCCUGAAAAUUUUCCCUUGUGAAUUGGAAUGAACUGUUAAUCAGCUAAAGCUUGUGGCGUUUGGAAUCCUAAAUCAGCAAUCCAGCGUCUCAACUGGAGGUGGCCCUUGACAACACUCUAAGGUCACAAUAGGAAGGAACUACAAAACCUUCAUAAUGAACCUCUGUGAGUUAGAAUGGUACAUUUUUAACUCGUUUAAUCGGGCCACACGAGUGUGGAUGCUACUUUGGGAAGGUCGUUAAGGCAACACGUCAACGAAGAAUGUUGCUUAAAGUACUGAGAAUAGCUGUCAUCACCACUGUGAGCCUCAUUCUCUAAUAUUUAUUGAACAUUUACUGUGUCUCUGGCACUGUGAAGUUCUCUAAUCAUUUCUGUUACAGCAGCCUGUGCUGCGACAGAUGAAGUGUACAAAUAGGAUGCUGAUGAAGACAUGGAAAUUACCACGAUUGCUGUGUGGGCCAAGGAAAACCAUGACUCUGCUCUAAGUCCUGUUGUCUCGUUAUCUCACACACUGGCCGAUUUCUUCUCAAAAGACUUGUGGGCAAGUAGCGGCGGUAAAGUUCAUCAUUUAUCGGCUGGCAAAUCAGCUGAGCAUGACUCGGUUAUCUGAUUCUCUAUUUCAGAGGACUUAUGGGUUAUGUUCUCAGAAGGGCAUGACAAUUCAUCAGGAAGAGGAGUGAGCGAUGGUUCCCAGAAAAUGCCUUGCUUGUCAUCUUGAGGUUUCCAUAUCAAUGGAGCCAAAUGUUAGCCCCUGCGGUCUUAAAUAGCAAGAAGGAUUGUGGCCCUUUGGGGGAAAGAAAUAGGCUCUUUGUAAUUUUUAAAGUGUGUUGAUGUGAAAUCAAAUGAUGAUAGCCCAGAUCAUUUUAACAAUUAGGUAUCUCAGUUGGGAAUGUUUGCAGCAAGUGCAGAGUCUUCGAUGUGCAUUAGCGGACAAAUGCCCAGCUUCCUUGUAAGCUGACCCCAUCAUUCCAAAUGUCUUCUCUACGUUUUGUUUAGUGGUUAGUCAUGUAAGAGCUUUUCCUGCUUCCCAAACCAGUUGGUAUAUGUGGAACAACUCUGUUGAUUAAAUAUUUUACUUAAUUUUUUUGUAGAACCACAAAAUUACUCAAGGCUUUGAAGACCUGACGAUGAGCCUACUGGCCCAGCUAAUUUGUUGAUUUGGUUGUAAAAUUAAGCUCACUAAGGAAUGAACAGAGAUAUCAUCAGACACGGAGUUCUGUCUCUUUUUUCCUCAGGAAGUCAAUCUUAGGCAAAAAUGUGAAGGAGGCAGAGUUUUCCUCUACACACGGCCACCUCCAAGCUCCCAAAAUUAUUGUUCCCUUUUCUCUCCUCCUCAUAGCUUCCUCCCUGCAAGUGCUUGCAUGCUUCCGGAUUCCUGUUAGUUAACACGAAUAAGAUAACGCUCUCUUUCGGUACAAUGUGAUACUUUAUUUUUUAAAAUUAUACUAAUGCUUAACUCAAAGCAAUAAGUAUCUAACAGCAGCAUCUCACACGUUCAUAACAAGACAGUGGUGAUAAAAUUUCUUAGUAGGACCCUCCCAAGGAUCUCUCACCUCAUACCAAUGGGCAGCCACCUCCUCACUUCCUCUCCCGACAUGCACGCAGCCAUUGGUUAUCAGUUCACUCUCCAUUACGUGAUUUGGGGGAUGCAUAAUAAGAGAGAUUAGUGCCUGCAGUAAACAAUGCUUUCUGAAAUCUUCCCCAAAAUUAACAGACAGUAGAAAUGCAACUCACCAUUCCCUGCCAGAAGAUACAGAGGGAUCUGUGAGAGAAUCUGCCCCCACCUCCACACACACAGACUUUAUGAAAGAUUAAUGGAAACAGAGAAUACUGAUGGAUAAAGGCAGCAAAUGAGCAGAAACAUCCUUGUCUUUUACUUCCUUAUCAAGAUCAGUGCCUAAACAAUGGCUAGCCCAUAGUAGUCACUCAAUCAAUAUUUGUUGAAUGACUGAAAAAUUGACUAAUUUAUCAAGUAUUUGGAAGCAGUCUGAAGACACUAUUUUUCAUUCUGGGUGCCUUGUCAGUUAAGGCCUAAAGAAAUUCUUGUUCAAAAAGUUCAAGUAUCAAGAGCUGAUAAUGAUUUCUCCCGUACAUUGCUUCAAGUGCCACAUCCAUCCUUAUUUCCCUAUCUGAAAAAAAAAAAUUUUAAGUAUAACCUUACCCAAGAGAGAUGAAAACUUAUAUCCACACAAAAGUCUGUACCCAAACGUUUAUAGUGGCUUUAUUUGUAUUCACCAAAAACAAGAAACAAUCCAAAUGUCGCUCAUAUGCAGAAGGGGUGAACUAACAGAGGUACUUUAGUACAAUGGAACACUACUCAGCCAUAAAAAGGAGCACAGUCCUAAUUCAGGCAACAACACGGAUGAACUCAAGAGCGUUAGGCUAAGUGAAAGAAAUCAGAGUUAAAAGGCUGCAUAGUAUAUGAUUCCAUUUAUAUGACAUUCCUGCCAAGACAAAAUGAUAGGGCCAGCAUUGCCUCUGGUUGUGGGUGGGAAGAAGGAUUGAUUAGAGAGUGAGAGGAAGAAUGGGUGGGUUGGUGGAUCUGUUUCAUAUCUUGAUUGUCAUGGUGGUUACUCAACUGUAUACAUUUGUGAAAGCUCAUGUAGGAGCAUGCACAAAAAAGGGUGAAUUGUAUUGUAUGUAAAUGAUACCUUCAUUUUUUAAAAAUGAAGGGAAAAGUAUAAUAAUACUCUGCAGCCCAGUAAGGUAGAUAGAUAUUUUACAGAUAUUCAGUUUUUGGUCUUGCUAAAAUGUUGCUAACAUUGUGAAGACUUCUGAAUCUCCUAAUAUUCUAAUACCAUGAUUGUACCUUUUGCCUGGCAAGAGUGUUAUAAGGAUAAAUUAGUUAAUGUAUGCAAAGACCUUUGAAGAUGAAAAGCACCAGGCGAGUUCUAGAGUGCCGAUGUUAAUGCUCAGACUGGACUGAAGGUGAAAGCAUUUUCAAAGCCAGUAGGUGGGCAGGUUUUCUAUCCCGCUGUGUUGAUUUUUCAGCUGGCUCCUACACAGCGAUUACACGGCUUUGCAUCUUUGUACUGAAGCGUGGACCACUUGACAGAAGAAAGCCACUGGGCAAAUGCUAUAAAGACAAUGGUGAGGUGGCAGCGUGGCCAAAUGGACAUUUCAAAGCCGAGAACAAAGGUCUGAACGUAAAUACCUUAGAAGUAAAUAGAGUAAAGCUUAUUACCGAUUAUGGAACAUCUCAACUUAUAGAACAGAAGUGUGCUCCAAAGUGCACUGUGUACGAAGAAUUAUUUUACUAAAUGUUUAUUUUGGAGAAAUAAUCUCUUUAUAAGUAAUCACAUCUGAAAGAAUGUGAUGGUUAAAUUCAGAAUUUUAUACAUUAAAUUUUCUUACAUAAGGUCAAGGUCUUCAUUGGUGAGGUCUGCAGCUAAAGAUGGAUGCACCCGGACUUCAGCAUUCAUCUCUCCUCCUUCAUAAUAACACAGGGAGCACAGCUAACCGCAGUCUGCAGAUCACCUAAUUAUCCCCACACCAUGCUAGUUCUCCCAAAUGGCUGCACUUAUUGUUUUGAUUUUUAUCUCUAUUUCCCCCGCCUCUUCUCUCGUUCAAGUACAAAGCAAUAGCAAAGGCCUGGCCAAAAGCCAAUUAGUCUGAGUGAGGAGGAGGAGGAAGGAGAGGUUUGGUUAAGCAUCCAGUGAGCUAACCUGGCCUUGAGUCAUUAGGAGACUUUCCACGUAAGAGCCCAACAAAUUGACCUUCAGGCAUACCUGCUUAACUGAUAAAGUAAAGUGUAGGACCAGCCCUCAUUUUUUUACCUAAAUGUUGAAUAAAAUCAUUGGAAGAAUGGGCACCUAUAUAAUUCUGAUGAGCAACAUGGUAUAGUGAAAAAUUUUAUGGGACCAAGUAUUAUGAGAUGUGAAUUCUGGUCCCAAUUCUGCCAUGAAAUCGCUGGCGGACAGUGUGCAAGUCACAUGGCCUCUCUGGACCUCAGUUUCUUCAUCUGUGAAAUUAGAGUGUUCCAUGAGAUAAUCUCUAAGAUCCCUUUCGGUUUUAAGGUCCAGAUUCUAUUGGUUCUCCUUUAAGCUAAAAUAGCUCUUUGUGAACCUGGAAAUAACUCCAAGAUUCGUUUCUCUCCUUUCCCCAAUUUUUGGAGCAAGCUAACAUGAAACAGUACCAUUAGUGAUACCGCAAUUAAUAGUUCCUCAUUCUUAUACUGAGUGGGAAUCUCACACUAUAUCCAUCAUUCAAAGACAUGUCUGGGUGCAUGUACAGAAAUAAUGGAAUGGCAAAAUGAAAGUUUAUUUGCAUGAAGUCUGAGGAGACUCUUGCUAAAAGGUUAUUCCAUGGGGCGGAAAGAAUUGUGCAAAGUUGGCCCAAUUAGAAAACCUUAGUUUUAGAGGGGCAAGAGAUUCUGACAGCGUGGUGUCUGAUACUUGACUUUGCCUACCAGCCUAGCCCCCCAAGACUCUCAGUCUACCUACAGAAUGUAACCCCUAAAGUGGAGAGCGGCAUUCUUUAGCUUUGUGUAGUUUAAGCCCCUUGAGAACACAAAUAGAUCUGCAGAGGUGGAGAAAUGUGGUAUUUCCUGGCUGAAGUGAGUGCGUGGAAGCCAUACCUAUGUAGGCAACUGUCAUGGCAGAGGCCAAUGCGGGCAUUGCUCACCCGGAGAGGCGGGGACUCCAGCAGGCAAGAUGGGGAAACAGACUAAAUCUGGAUCAAAGUUACACAUUCCCCAACUCCAAGAGAAGGCACACAGAUGGGGAUUUUUUUGUGAGUCGAUGUAACAUGUCCCUGGGAACUUCUAGCUACAAAAGUAGGGGAGAGGGGUGGGAAGUAGUUAGUCUAGAGGGCUAAAAAUGAAGUGGAAGUGUGACCCAACAAAAUUGAGCUUUAGUUGUGAUUUUUUAAUUCACAGUUUUGCCAUAAUAGUAUUAUUUUCGCAAAGAAAAUCAUAGGAAAGGAGCUAUAAUUAUUAAUCAAAUUCACAGUGUGAGUAUUAGAGGGGGAUAUCUGCAUGUAAGUAAUAACUGAAAGAAAAUCACAGAAUACCUUCUCUACUUCUCAGCUGAGACAGCAGAGAACGAUAGGGAUUCCCUGGUCUCUCCUCAGAACCAGGAGACCCUUCUCAGAUUCGCCUCUGCCUUUCUCCCCAACUCUGAAUUCCCUAAUUUUGCCUCUGUCCAUCUGUACCGAGAUGUUACAAUAUUACCUUGAAAAUGUUUUUCUCAUGUAUAUCAUGCAAAGAACCAUCUUAUUCAAUUAGGCAUUUUGGGUAUUGAGGAUUUUGGAUAAACUUAGUCCCUAACUUCAAAAAUAUUUUAAGUCAUAAUUUAUAUUUUAGGGAAACAUAUCAAGAAGAAAUGUGAUGACUGCAAGAUAUAAUUGCAGACCUACUUAUUAUAAUAAUGGAGUAAAGAUUCCUGGAAGAUCCACUGCAUGUGUUUAGAAGGAACGUUAAAUAGUGAAAUUAGGAUUAUCUUCCAUAUAGUUGAUGUUAUGAUAUAUUUUAUAGCUAUGGCGUCUCUUUCUCUCUCUUCUUCAACCUAGCCAUCCUUUUCCCAUUCCCCAUCUUUCUCUAGGAAAAUCUUUCCAUAAUAUCACCUGACAUUUUGCCGAGGCUCUAGGUCUUAUCCACACUAAAGAUGACUUCCAUAGACUUUUGAGGCGUCUAAGUGGCCCACACUACAUCCGUCAUCUUUCUAUUAAGGUCAACUGGUUGCAGGAUCCCCUGCAUCUGUGCUCAGGAGCUGGAGUAAAAGGGCAGCUCCAACGUUCCCAUUCCUGUUAAACCUUCUGUGAUCCCCCAGCCAGAGAUUACCAAUCCCUUCUCUCUUAUUCAUCCCGUUUCUAUUUUUUCAGUCAAUCUUUUUUUCAACAAUUUCUUUUUUAAGAUUGGCCCUGAGCUAACAUCUGUUGCCAAUCUUCUUUCUUUUUUUGUUCUUCUUCUCCCUGCCAAAGCCCCCCAUUACAUAGUUGUAUAUUCUAGCUGUAGGUUGUUUUAGUUGAGCCAUGUGAGACGCUGCCUCAG
ensembl:lncRNA